GCGUCUUGGGGAGGGGCGUGGCAGCGGCUGGCCAACCCUGGGUCGGCAGCGCCACAGCGCCUCCAGUGGGCAGCUCCCCAGGUGCAAGCCUCUCACCCCUGCCCCAUCCAGCUGCGGGGUGCAUCUUGGUGCGGAAGUUGCGGUGCCUUGGAGGAUUUUCUCGUCCCUGGCCUGGGCAGGACGCGUGAGCUCCUGUUCCACCCGGCUGGUGGGAAGUUUCUUUUUAGUCCUCACUGAUGCCUGCACCUGCUCCCAGGAUAAGACCAGAAAGAAACUCUGUAUGGAAAGCCAGAUUACAAUGUGAAGUUUUCUUGGCAAAUACGGAUUCACAGCAAGGGGAGUGAGAGCAAGCUCCGUGCAUCAGUUACACACCAGAUGCCUUACCUGAAACUUGAAGAACAAGAAGAGGUUGCUCCAAACUAAAGUACCAAAGCUCAGAGCCAGAGCCUUCUCUGAAAACAAUGGCUUCUACAUCUAGUUGAAAUAGAGAACUGCAUAACACAGCAGGAGAGCCAGCAGCUGAGUGUGCCCCACCCGCUGGGCCCAGGGCAAUCAAAUUCCUCACCAUCCUUGGGGACAGAAAUGCGGGCAGCACUAACUUCAGCCAGUGGGCCCGUGGGCCAGGAUCCUCAUCAUCCAGGAGUUUGUUCGAAAGGCAAAUUCUCAGGUCCCAGCACGGAUCUACUGACAUAGAGUCUGCAUUUCAACAAGAUCCGUAGAGCUGAUUGCUACAGGAGUGAAUUCCCUCAAGGCUCAAGAAACCCUUGAAAAUGAAGAGUGGACCAGCCCACAGCCUCUUCCUGUUCUGGAUCUUUUGUUAUCAGUACGUCUCUCAUAGGUGAGAUGCUUCCUUCUGAGGACUGCCCUGAUAAGAGGAUAUCAUGUGUCCCCAGCGUAGACUCCCAAGGAGUUUGCCACCCCAAAUAGAAGAGUGGAACCAUUAACAGACUAUCCAAGCAAACACUGACAAGGAAAAAGCCCUCAGGUUCAACAAUGUAGUUGCUUCUCUUUGAAGAUCAUUUACCUGCCCAUCGCCUCUGAUGGAACUCCUCCUCCAACUGUUUUUGCACAGGACUCGAAAGGACUCUUUUCAUUCCCCAGAUGGGGCAGCAAUAAGUUUCCUCACAUGGCAGGAUCUCACAGAAAGUAACUUCAGGUGCUUGUGAGGAGGUCUGUGUGGCUGCCAGGGAUGUAUUAGAUGCUGCGAGGCAUGGAGCAGAGAGGAAGGAAGCAACGAGGUGAACCUGAAAGGCUGGUUUCUUCCGUUGACAGUUCACGUGAAACGCAGCCUGGGUUGGAGCAGCAGUGAGGAAUGCAAAGACCUUACCUGAGGAGGAGGCUGUGGGCGGCAGAGCAGGCUCCUGAGAGCUUGUGGGACUGCUGGAGGAGAACGAAAUGAUUAACGAGGGGCCUGCAAGAAUCCUUCUCCCCAAAGGAAUGUGACUUCUGAACUCUCACCUUGGAGGGAGACUUGAGGCAUGUCGGUCUUGAUCUUUUAAGCUAAGUAUGUAAAGGGAGACUAUCGUCAAGGCACUGUCAAUAAAAAACAAACACACGUUAUGUGGCAGAUUUGUUUCCAGAUAUAUCUCACGCAUCCAGCUGGCCGGAGAUGCACUCCCAACAGGCCACACAGAUGGGAGCAGAGGGGGAGGGGCGGCCAGAGCUGACAGAAACACCAUGGAAACCAGCGCAGCACGCUUUCUGCCCUGGUGAGAAAAAGCCCCGGGCUUCCUGGAGCCCAGAGGCUCCUGGGCUAGUCCUCACUGAUGGAUUUUUCCACCGAGCAGCCCCCUGGCCCUGGCAAGCUGUCUCCGGCGUCUGUCACUGGUGGAAGAUUACAGGAGGAAGUGUGUCAAUGGCUGGAGGCAGCCCUCUGCGCCUCACAGGAAAGAGGCAGAGCAAGGCUCCCAUCCACGGUCGCAGUCGCGCAGGUUCAGUCAGCUGUGGAUGCCAAACCCUUUGGCUGCUUCUCUGACAUCUUCCUUCUGGCCGCCUGUCUUUUCAGAGCACAAUACGCCAAAUUGGGCAGGGGAAGGAAAAGAAAUGCAAUAAAGCAUUCAUUUCCACACUGUGUGACUUCAAAACAAUGAGGAUGUCUUUCCCCACGAUUACCCAAAUGGAAGCUUUCCUUAAAGGUUCUGAGCUUUGGGAAGCUAUUCCCAUCCAUGCUCAUGCCUCCAAGCACUCAGCCCUCUCCUCUUUCGGGGGUGUCUUUAGAACUCUCUCAUGAGCCACACAAGAAAGUCCGCUGCAAACUUCACAGUUCCAUUUUGUGCUGGGGUUGACACAGGGUUACCUGACUUCACUUCCUGACAGCUCGACUUCACACCUGGUUCUCCAAACUCCACUCCUCAU